UACGGGGGGGGCAAGCGUUGUCCGGAAUCAUUGGGCGUAAAGAGCGUGUAGGCGGCCCGAUAAGUCCGCUGUGAAAGUCCAGGGCUCAACCCUGGGAUGCCGGUGGAUACUGUCGGGCUCGAGUCCGGAAGAGGAGUGUGGAAUUCCUGGUGUAGCGGUGAAAUGCGCAGAUAUCAGGAGGAACACCAAUGGCGAAGGCAGCACUCUGGGACGUGACUGACGCUGAGACGCGAAAGCGUGGGGAGCAAACAGG
rnacentral:rRNA from 1 species